CACCCCCGCCAGAGAACUACGAGCCCAAUCUUAAAACUCAAAGGACUUGACGGUGCCCCACCCACCUARAGGAGCCUGUUCUAUAAUCGAUACCCCCCGCUAUACCUCACCACUUCUAGUACAUCAGUCUGUAUACCUCCGUCAUAAGUCCACCUUGUAAACGCUCAUAGKGGACUAAAAGACUCACCCUCGUCAAUACGUCAGGUCAAGGUGCAGCUUAAGAAAUGGAAAGCAAUGGGCUACAAUUUCUACGAUAGAACAUACAAAAAACUGCAUGCAACACAGUUAUUAAGGCGGAUUUAGUAGUAAAAAGAAAACAGAGAGUUCUUUUAAACCAGGCGCUGGGGCGCGC
rnacentral:rRNA from 1 species